CCUACGGGCGGCAGCAGUGAGGAAUAUUGGUCAAUGGGCGUAAGCCUGAACCAGCCAAGUCGCGUGCGGGAUGAAGGUUCUAUGGGUCGUAAACCUCUUUUAUAAGGGGAUAAAGUGUGGGACGUGUCCUAUUUUGUAUGUACCUUAUGAAUAAGGAUCGGCUAACUCCGUGCCAGUAGCCGCGGUAAUACGGAGGAUCCGAGCGUUAUCCGGAUUUAUUGGGGUUAAAGGGUGCGUAGGCGGCCUUUUAAGUCAGCGGUGAAAGUCUGUGGCUCAACCAUAGAAUUGCCGUUGAAACUGGGGGGCUUGAGUAUGUUUGAGGCAGGCGGAAUGCGUGGGGUAGCGGUGAAAGGCUGAGAUAUCACGCAGAACCCCGAUGGCGAAGGCAGCCUGCCAAGCCAUGACUGACGCUGAUGCACGAAAGCGUGGGGAUCAAACAGGAUUAGAUACCCUUGUAGUC
rnacentral:rRNA from 1 species